GCGCUGCUGAGGAGUCCUACAAUAGGACGAAACGUCCGUUCAGUGC
rnacentral:hammerhead_ribozyme from 1 species